rnacentral:lncRNA from 1 species
AAUAUUAAGUAAUUAUUAAAGUAUAUGUAAUUAUAAUGUAAUUACAAUGUAGCAAUGAAUGUAAACUAUCAAUACUACUAUUACUACUACUACCACUAAUAAUAGUAAUAAUAAUAACAAUAAAAUGGCGUUUGCACGAUUAUAACAUAAGAAUAAUUAUGUACUAUAUAAAUGCACGAUGCACACGUUCAACCUUUCCGGCUCUUGAAGCCGAGCGCAGCCGAACGCUGGCCGAACUCUGGCGAAGGUGGCGUCAUAUGUUUCUCUCGCUCGCUCGUCUCGCUGUCUGUGAAGGAAGAAGGAAGAGCAAUGGCGACGCUGUACCGCCGCGCGCUCACACUGCACACAGGAGCCACAGCACACACUAUAUGCUUUUGUAUGGUCACGUCCCAACCCAUGAGGAUUUCAAACCUGUCGUUUGCGAUGCCUGCAACAAAGUCAUUGAGCCUCAGGACGUCCUGACUCAUUCCGGUAAGUGACAGUCAUCAUUUGGACUGUACUGAUACAGAUUUAUUUGAAUUUAAUGUUCUCGUUGAGUUCUCGUUUUCUUGACAUGAGUGCACUGAAGUCUGUGUUAAAGGCCGAUAUUUCGGAUAUUCAGUUCAGAAAUUCAUUAUGUGCUUUGAUUGAUAUUUCGGGAUUUCCCGUAAUCAGAUUGUUUUGGGUUUAUUGUGCGGUUUUCAAUGCGUUUAUCUCAUCAUUUGUUCAUUUAGAGAUGAAUGAGAUAAUGAUGUAGAAAACUGUAAGUCUGAUUGCUUCAUUCGCCUCUGUAGUGUUCUGAAAGACUAACCUCGACUAUGAGCGGUAAUAAUAGUAAUGCUUGUCAUAGUAGACAGUCCUAAUUAAAUCAAAACCUUAAUUCUAUGGCUAGAGCUAAAUAUAUACUGUAGAUGAUAUGCAGAGGUAACCUGUGUAAGGUUAUAAUAGAGGUGUUUACUGCUGUAAAGCAAGAAUCAUGGAGUCAUUUGCCGUUUACAUUAUUAUAUGUGUUGCCGCCCAUAGAACAGCCUGUUUAAACCGCAGUCGAACACCUGAGGCGUGUUAAAACACUGGUUAAUUAAGCAAACGUACCUUAACCUUCUGUUAGACCUGGGCACUGUGGGUAAGAGAAACAGACUGGUUUUAACCGUAUUCAGAUUGCUCGGCUAAGUUGAGUUUCAGGCCAUGAAUCAAACCCAACAAGAUCAAUCACGUUGCAACAUUUGAUUUGAAGCAAAAAUUGCAUAUAUAUAAAAGUUCAAAAGUUUGGGGUUGGUUAGAUUUUUUUAAUGUUUUUGAAAGAGAGGAUUAUGUUUUGCUUUUAUUUGUUCAGAAAUACAGUAAAAACUGUACUCUUGUGACAUAUUAUUACAAAUUAAGAUAAGAUAAGUUUUAUAUUGUAACAUUUUAAACAAUGUCAUUUAUUCCUUUGAUUCAAAUCUGAAUUUUCUGCAUCAUUACUCCAGUCAAAAGUGUCAUUGCAAAUUGCAAAAAUGAUUGUUUACUGUAAAACUGUACACUUUAUAGGCAUUGAUAACAACUAUAACACUAAGAGAAAUUUCAAACACACACACAGCGGAGAGAUUUCAGCAUGGAGCAUGAAGAAAAGUCAUCUUUUUAUCUAAUGGCAUGUUCUUGUGGUUAUAGCUGGUCGCGAUGGUACCUUUAGAACCCACAGACUAAAAACCAUAUUAAAAUUACUCAAUAGUUUAUCAUCAAAAUCAUUGUUUUAUUGAUUGUUUAUCGCCCAUUCACCCUGUGAUGACUGAAGUGUUCCUAUAAACACCAGUUAUAAUAUAAGAAAGCUGGCACGGACUAACAACUUUGUAACACUGCAAACUGCACUUAAUUAACUAAAACAACUAAAUGAAAUAUCUGGACAUUGAACACUUAAUUUAUAACAUUACAGAUUGAUCUGAAUAAGCAGGGUCUGUUCAGGAGCAUUUUGAUUGGUGGAUUAAAAGCUCACCGCGAUUGGCUGAACGGAACAUCCUCCAAAAAAGAUAUUUAUGAAUCUUAACCUGUCAGGAAGGCCUCAAAAAUACCGCAGACAAACUCAAAGCAGUCCAUGCAUGUGUGACAAUUUGCAAAUGCAGAUUCAACGAUCCAUAAAUACAUGUAACAUCAUUCAUACAUAUUUGUGUAAACAUUUUACAUUUAUUUAGGUAAGAUGCAUUUGUUUAUGUAUUAUUUUUGAGGCUGAUCUGGCUCCAUAUAAAAGUGAUAGUUCACCCAAAAAUGAAAAUCGUGAUCAUUUACUCACCCGUUAGUGAUUGUAAACCUCUAUGAGUUUCUUCUCGUUGCAUUUACUCACCCGUUAGUGUAUUGUAAACCUCUAUGAGUUUCUUUCUCGGUUGAACACAGUUGCCAGCAGCCAUUGACUUCUAUAGUAUGUGGGGGGGAAGUACUGUGGAAGUCAUUGGCUGUCGGCAACUGUUUGUUUAUCAGCAUUCUUCAGAAUUUAUUCUUUUGCGUUCAACCGGAGAAAGAAACUCAAUCAGUUUAAGUGUGAGUAAAUGAUGACAGAAUUUUCGUUUUUGGGUAAACUAUCCCUUUGAAAAUGAGUUUGUAUUGUAUUGUUGUGGUGGAAAACCAUUGUGGGGAAUGUUAAAAACCAAAAGAGGUCUCUUUCAAAAAGCAUCCUGUCCCGGGGCAGAAACGCUCCACCACUCUGUCAUCAUCCGUCUCACAUCUGUCUUUGGUCUUGUGCCUAGACCACGUGCGCUCGUGGAACAGAGAGGUGUCUUGCGCGGUGGGUGGCGACGGUAAUGUGCACGCUCUCCCUCGCUCUCGUCCCCUUCUGACGCUGAUUUCACAUAGCUGCCUUUCUCUCUGGUCUCCUGCCGCCCCCCUUCUGAGACCGGAGAGCUACACGGCAGCUGUGGGGCUGCG